rnacentral:lncRNA from 1 species
UUAUUUAUUGUUACAUGCAAUAUAAAUUCAAUAUAAAUUUAGAAAAUUUAAGUGAAGCUAGCAAAAGUGAAUUAUUUAGUGAGCUAGACAAGGAUUUAGAUUAUGUUAAUUUCUUAUCAAGUGGUGAAAGUCUUAGUGAAACUGAAAAAAUUUUAGAAAAUGAAUACAAACAUAUGGAUAAUCAUAAUUUGAAUUAUGGAAAUAGUAGUUUCAUAUCAAAUUUGCAAUUACAGAAUAAUUCUAUAACUGUACCUAAGGCACUAGAAUAUAUUAGAAUUAUUGAUGAUGUUCUUAAUUACGUAAAUAAGGUAGGUGAUAAAUCCGAUACAUCUCUUCUUACAUAUAAAUUAAUGGAUGAAAAAAAUAUUUUAAACGAAUACAUUGGAUUAACAGAAAAUGAUUCUAUAAACAACAUGAAUUCCGAGCUUGAAAAUAUAUCACUUUAUAACAUGUUAAACACUUUGAAAAUCACUUUUGAAAACAAAAAUCAGUCAAUAUUAUCAUUAGAUAAAUCCGAAAAGAAAAAUGAUGAGAUAAGUGGUUUGAGAAAAGAAGUCAAUGAAACUUUCAUAAAAUCAAUUAGCAAAGCAUUUUAUUGUUAUGAUUCAUUUAAAAAUAAUAAUAAAGUUAAUGUUGUAUUUAAAAUUAUAGGAGAGGAAAAUCGAAAUAUAAGUACAACAUCAAGUGUAAAUAAACACGAUUUUAAUGCAUUAUCAAAUAAUAUGCCUGAUGAAAUUUUUAAUAAUAGUACGCAAAAUGACAGUGAAUGCUAUUUUUUUUUUAAGCUAAUUUUUGAAGAAAAUAUGCUUCAAAAUAAAUUACCUGUUUCAAAUAAUAUGGAAAGCAACGUGAGUUCAAACAUGGGCUCAGAAAAUGUUAACGAAAAAGGGGUGGAGGAAAAUCAAGAAGUAAAUAAAAAUUUAGCUUCCCAAGAAUCUGUAGAAUCAAAAAACAUCCUUAAUGAUUUACAUAAUAAUGAUGUUAAUAAAAAUAGUACUACAGGUGUAUCGAAUUUAGAGUUAAAUAAAACUGAUAAUAUGCCGGUAGAAGAAAAUGAAUUUGAUGAUUCACAUGAGUCUAAUACUAAUAAAACCAGUACUGUAAGUACAGCAUAUUUAGAUGUAAAUGAUAGUGAUAAUACAUUAUAUGACAAUUCAUUUGUGCAAGAGUUUGAAGAGGAUGAAGGCGAUGACGAAUAUGGGUUAGAAAACGAUUUUAAUGCCGAAGCAAGCGGUGAUGACGAUGAUAAUAAUGAUGAUGAAAAUGAUGAUGAAAAUGAUGAUGAAAAUGAUGAUGAAAAUGAUGAUGAAAAUGAUGAUGAAAAUGAUGAUGAACAUGAUGAUGACGAUAAUGAUGAUGAAAAUGAUGAUGACGAUAAUGAUGACGAUAAUGAUGAUGACGAUAAUGAUGAUGACGAUAAUGAUGACGAUAAUGAUGACGAUAAUGAUGACGAUGAUAAUGAUAAUGAUGAUGACGAUGAUGAUGAUAAUGAUGAUGACGAUGAUGAUGAUAAUGAUGAUGACGAUGAUGAUGAUAAUAAUGAUGAUGAUGACGAUGAUAAUGUUAGUCUAACAGAUUCGAUAAAAAAUGUAUUUAAUAAAGCAGUAGAAGAAGGGAAAACAAAAUUAUUAAAUAAAGCUAAAAAAGUUACAAAGGGUGCAACGAAUAAACUUAAAAAAGUUGCAAAAAGUAAAUUAAAUAUAUUAAAAAAAAAUGCAAACAGUAAAUUAAAUAUAUUAAAAAAAAGUGCAAAAAGUAAAGUAAACAAAGUUGCAAAUGGUGCAAUAAAUAAAGCUAAAAAAGUUGCAAAGGGUAAAACGAAUAUACUUAAAAAAGCUGCAAAAAGUAAAUUAAAUAUAUUAAAAAAAAGUGCAAAAAGUAAAGUAAACAAAGUUACAAAUGGUGCAAUAAAUAAAGCUAAAAAAGUUGCAAAGGGUACAGUCAAUAAUGUUAUAGAAGCUACAAAGGGUACAGUCAAUAAUGUUAUAGAAGCUACAAAGGGUAUAACAAAUAAAUCAAACGGGUAUAUAAAUAGUUCGAAAAUGACUACGAAUAAAAGUAAAAAUGUCAUAAAUACUAACAGUAGCACAAGAACUAAAAAAAUACCUACUAAUAUAAACAAUAGAAAUUACAAACCAGCAUCAACUAACAACAUCCCAUCUGUAAGUAUGUCAAAAAAUAAUCGAAUAAGGAAUUUGCGCAAUAAAAAUUCUUUCUUAAGUACAAAACAAAUUAAAGACAUGAAAUUUUUCAAUGAUGAAAAUAUAAAAAAAAUAUUAAACGAAAUUAGUAGAAAAUAUAAAGAUGUCAAACAUAAAAAAGGAGAAAUAAAGAGUGAAUUGAGAAAUCCUACUUUUUCAGAUAGAAAAGUAAUUGAGGAAUUUAAAAAAUUCAAAUCAUCAAAGAAGGGGAGAAGAAGAUGUGUUUAAAAUUAUAUUUCUUUUAAAGUGAAUACUGAAGUUUGUUUUUAAUAUUUUAUAAUUGGUGUAAUAUUGUAGAGCAUGUGAACGGGGGGAGAAUCGCUUCUUUAAUGUUUUUCAUUUAAAAUUUAAAAAGAGAAACCAAAACGGGAGAAGAAGAAAAGGGGCAAAACAUAACAUAAAGAACAGAGCAUAAUAUAGCAGAACAACAUAUAAAAAAUUUAUGUUUUUUUUUUUCUAAAAGAAUCUAACCUUUUUUUUUUUU